GGAUAACGUCCGCCCAGGGUGACCUGAGAGAGAGCGCAGCAGAGAACAGACCGCCUGCAGUGCGAUGGCGACAUCCCAUUGCAGGUAAGGGUGAAACGGCGGUGUAAGAGACCACCGGGCCGCUGGUAACAGUAGGCCGCACGGCAAGCCUCAUCGGGAGCAAGGCCAAGCAGAAGGCGUUAAGGGCUGCUCGCCCGUGCCUUCGGGUAGGCUGCUAGAGCUUGCUGGCAACAGCAAGUCGAGAUGGAUGGUCAUCCGUUCGCAAGAACGACAGAACCCGGGGUAGAAGAGGUCUCACUCA
rnacentral:RNase_P_RNA from 1 species